rnacentral:rRNA from 1 species
AGCGGCGAACGGGUGAGUAACGCGUGAGCAAUCUACCUUAGUUACAGGGAUAGCCCGAGGAAACUCGGAUUAAUACCUGAUAUUCUUUACAUUUCGCAUGAAAUCAAAAGGAAAGGUCAGCCGAACUAAGAUGAGCUCGCGUUCUAUCAGCUAGUUGGUGAGGUAAAAGCUCACCAAGGCAACGACGGAUAGCUGGUCUGAGAGGACGAUCAGCCACACUGGGACUGAGACACGGCCCAGACUCCUACGGGAGGCUGCAGCAGGGAAUAUUGCGCAAUGAGCGAAAGCUUGACGCAGCGACACCGCGUGUGGGAUGACGGAUCUAGGUUUGUAAACCACUUUCAGGAGGGAAGAAAAUGACGGUACCUCCACAAGAAGCCCCGGCCAACUACGUGCCAGCAGCCGCGGUAAUACGUAGGGGGCGAGCGU